GUUACUCUGACAGUAGUAAACUGCAGCAUCUUCAAUCUGGACUCCAGUGAUGGUCAGAGUGAAGUGUGAGUGAGAUCCACUGCCUGUGAAACGACCUGAAAUCCCUGAUGCUCGAGUACUGGCAAGGUGAUGCACGCCCCACCCUGACAGUGCUGCCCCCCUCCAGUGUUGAGCUGCAGCAGGGUACGGCCACACUUAUGUGCCUGGCCAACAGAGGCUUCCCAUCUGGCUGGAGUCUGUCCUGGAAGGUGGGCGGUAGCGUGAGCUGGGAGGAGAGCAAGAGCCCAGUGGUACUGGAGAGGGACGGACGAUACAGCUGGAGCAGCACCCUGAGGCUCCCUGCAGACCAGUGGAGGAUGGUGGGCUUUGUGACCUGUGAGGCCACCCAGGGCUCCCAGACUCCAGUAUCAGAAACUCUGAGGAGAGACCAGUGUUCCCAGUACUGAGCUGACUCAACACCACUCUGCUGCUGGUUUUCCUCUGAUACUGCUGGUUUUGCUGUUUUUCCAUCAUUAUCUCUUAUGUUUUAACAAUCAAUGUUUCUGCUUUUGCCAAAGAAUUCAAUCAAAAAUAAAGAUUUUAUAAGUC